rnacentral:rRNA from 1 species
AGCAGCCGCGGUAAUUCCAGCUCCAAUAGCGUAUAUUAAAGUUGUUGCAGUUAAAAAGCUCGUAGUUGAAUUUCGGAAUCCAUCCGUCGGUCGGGCUUCACGGUCCGCACUGGUGUGAUGGAUUCCUACCUUCUGAACAACCAGCAUGUCAUUAAUUUGAUGCGUUGGGGAAGCAGGACUGUUACCUUGAAAAAAUUGAGUGCUUAAAGCAGGCUAGUGCCUGAAUACAUUAGCAUGGAAUAAUGAAAUAGGACGGCAUGGUUCUAUUUUGUUGGUUUCUAGGAUCACCGUAAUGAUUAAUAGGGAUAGUUGGGGGCAUUAGUAUUCAAUUGUCAGAGGUGAAAUUCUUGGAUUUUAUUGAAGACUUAAACUUCUGCGAAAGCAUUUGCCAAGGNUGUUUCAUUAAUCAAGAACGAAGUUAGGGGAUCGAAGACGAUCAGAUACCGUCGUAGUACUUAACCAUAAACCUAUGACCGACUAGGGGAUCGGGACGUAUUAGUUUAAUUUUUUAACNGUAACU